rnacentral:rRNA from 1 species
AGUUAAACGGCCGCGGUAUUCUGACCGUGCGAAGGUAGCAUAAUCACUUGUUCUUUAAAUAAGGACUAGUAUCAACGGCAUCACGAGGGUUAUACUGUCUCCUCUUUCCAAUCAGUGAAACUGAUCUCCCCGUGAAGAAGCGGGGAUAAACCUAUAAGACGAGAAGACCCCAUGGAGCUUUAAACUCAACAACAACUCCCUAUACAAAGUACUAAAUAUUAUGGAAGCCCUGUCUGUUAGUUUUGGGUUGGGGUGACCGCGGAGAAAAACUAAACCUCCACGACGAACGGAAUUAACUCCUAAUCUAAGAGCAACUACUCUAAGAAUCAAUAAAUUGACAUAAACUGAUCCGAUAAUCGAUCAACGAACCAAGUUACCCUGGGGAUAACAGCGCAAUCCAUUUCAAGAGCCCCUAUCGACAAAUGGGUUUACGACCUCGAUGUUGGAUCAGGGUAUCCCAGUGGUGCAGCCGCUACUAAAGGUU